UCACUUGUGCAUGGCCAAAAAUAUGUGGCCGGCCAUGCCAUGGCACACAUGCAUCAUGCCUCUCCAUUUCCCUCUCUCUCACAUAAUUACUCCACCUUGGGAAGCCUCUCCUCCUUUGUCCCUUCCCAAUGCCACAAAUAAAUUCAGCUUGGGUCAAAUAUCUCUUCCCCAAACCAGCCUCCCAACUAACCCAAUCAAUGAAGAGGCUACCUCCCAACCAACCCAAUCAAUGAGGAGGCAGCCCACCCCCUCUCCCUCUAUAUAAAGGGGCUUGGCAGCCCACCCCCUUCCUCACUUGCUCUCACUUUUCCACUCCCCACUCUUUCCUCCACUCCCACACACUCUCCUCCUACCUCUCCCCACGAAAUUGCUGCUCCUCCUAGCUUCAUGGCCGGCCAUGGCCAUGAAAAGCUCUCCAAGAUGAAGCUCUCCCCCUCCCUCAAGCUCCCCCUCUCCAUGAGAGCAUCCCUCUCCUUCUUCUCCCCAAUCCUAGAUGGUUUUCUCUCCUCUUCUUCUUCCUCCCUUGCUAAGUUUGGAUCUUGAUGCAGGUGCAUGUUGGUCCAAGCAUGGAGAAGCUUCACCUAUCCUCAGAUCUGAAGUUCUUUACCAAGAUUCGUCCAAAACCUUGCAGUAAUUUCUUUCAUCUUGCUGUUUCAGAUUCUGGUACGAACUUGUAAAAUCCGCCAAAUCUUGUGUGCAGAUCCAAAUCGAGUGAUUCAAAGUUCCACAGAUAGGUAUUGAAAAGAUCUACAACUUGGCGUUGGUCUCAUCCUCAAAUUCGUUACGGAUUUUGCAUGGGGAUAUUUGGUUUAUACCAUGGUGAUAACCGAGAGAGGCAAUUGCUAAGUUGUGACGCACUCAUACCUCUUCUAGAUGCGAACAAUUCCGGAGAAGAAGAAGAAGUGGUUCGGACAAGGAUUUUAUUUAUAUUGACGGGAUUCUUAUAUUGAUGAAGUUGAAGAAGUCCAGGGACAAAUAAGCCAAGGCAAGCCAUCUUUUGAUCUCUGUUUUGGUGUCUAGUUGGAUGUCAUUUGUUGAUGUCCAAAGCACCUUGAAUUCUAUGUGUGUUAUUCUCUCUAUUUAUGUCAUCUAUGUGUGUUUCCAAGUGGGGUACUCCCUAGUGGUGAUACUCCACCUUUGUCUUGUGAUUAUGGGAUACAUGGCAUCAUGGCCGCGCUACUCCCAUUGGUUAUCAUGUAUGCCCAACUUGAGCAUGCAUAAUCUCAAGAAAAUAACUUACAUCACACCCACCCCCUUUGUAGUAUAGAGGUGUCUAUGUCAUGAUCUUGGUGUAUUCUCCAAUUGAGAGGAG